rnacentral:rRNA from 1 species
GUGAGUAACGCGUGGGAACGUACCUUUCACUACGGAAUAGCUCUUGGAAACGAGUGGUAAUACCGUAUACGCCCUCCGGGGGAAAGAUUUAUCGGUGAAAGAUCGGCCCGCGUUAGAUUAGCUAGUUGGUAGGGUAAUGGCCUACCAAGGCGACGAUCUAUAGCUGGUCUGAGAGGAUGAUCAGCCACACUGGGACUGAGACACGGCCCAGACUCCUACGGGAGGCAGCAGUGGGGAAUCUUGCACAAUGGGCGAAAGCCUGAUGCAGCCAUGCCGCGUGAAUGAUGAAGGCCUUAGGGUUGUAAAAUUCUUUCGCCAGGGAUGAUAAUGACAGUACCUGGUAAAGAAGCCCCGGCUAACUUCGUGCCAGCAGCCGCGGUAAUACGAAGGGGGCUAGCGUUGUUCGGAAUUACUGGGCGUAAAGCGCACGUAGGCGGACUUUUAAGUCAGAUGUGAAAUCCCGGGGCUCAACCUCGGAACUGCAUUUGAAACUGGAAGUCUAGAGACCAGGAGAGGUUAGCGGAAUACCGAGUGUAGAGGUGAAAUUCGUAGAUAUUCGGUGGAACACCAGUGGCGAAGGCGGCUAACUGGACUGGUACUGACGCUGAGGUGCGAAAGUGUGGGGAGCAAACAGGAUUAGAUACCCUGGU